UUAAAAAAUGAUAUAUGGCGAUCUGGUUUUUUGGAGGAACUAGCUUGGAUUUCCAUAAUUUUGCAUAUAAUUUGUCUCAUUUUAAAAUAUUUAAAGUUUCAAUAUAUUUCCAAUCUAGUGUGAGUUGUGACGAAGAAAUAAAAAUGGUUAUUGUUUAUUUCAAAAUUUGGCUUUUGAUAACAGUUUUACCGUCCUUAUCAGGAAGAAGAUAUAGAGUAAGAACAUCAAGGGGAACUUAUUAUUCCAGAUCUAGUUCUAGCGAUAGCUAUAGCGAUGUAUGGAUUUAUAUAGUUAUAGCAAUUCUGAUCCUCGUUUUGAUAUCCUGCUUGGUAAAGUUUUGCUGUAAUAAAAGACGAGACAAACCAGAGAAAUCGCCUGUUUAUAUCACCGAAUACGAGCGAAAUUAGUGAAGACAGACCUGUGAAAGAAGAAACUUAUGUUUGAAUUUACCUGUAAAUCACAAAGUACAGGAAUUUUUUUUUAUAUCAUUAUGUUACCUUUUGUGGAUGUAUGUCGAAGUAAAACUUUCGUGUUAAAGAAGCUGAAAUGUCAUCAUAUAGGCACAACUGUAAAAAUUAGAAAACUUUGAAUCUUAGUUUAAUAUAUCACAUGCUUUACAAAUACAUUUGUCUCCUACUCCACGAGACACAGAUAUCUAUCUA